rnacentral:sRNA from 1 species
AAACUUUUUGUUGUUGCUGUCCUUCUUAUUUUUCUUGUUGUUGACGGCUGACCAGCCACUGAUAAGGCCAUGAGUUUUUUCGUUGUUGUUGUUCUUGUUGUUGGUAAUAACCCAACAUACCAAAAAUACAAUACAGCUUGAGAAUAAUAUUAUGAAAAUAGUUUAUCGUAAGAAUUCCUCAACAAUGCUAGAGAAAAACUUUUUUGCACAAACUUUUCUCAAAUCUGUCCUUUGUUGACAAAUUUGUUUUGAUUUUUUUUUGUGAAAAUUGUCGACAAAAAAAUAUUUUCUUUGGUUAAAAUCAAAAUCACGCGAAUUUAAGACCCAUUUCUGGACGAAACUCUAAGAAUAGAGGCGUCAAAAAGUUGCAAGAAUUCAAGAGAAGUGAAGAAUUAGUGGAGGAGAUGCGGAAGCUCAAAUAA